rnacentral:sRNA from 1 species
GUUCCUGCAAAAUCAGGUGCUGGGAUUGAUCUUCCUAAUUGUUAUAGGUGGUAUAUGACGCACCUAGCGUUCUUUAU